AGCGAACGCUGGCGGCAGGCCUAACACAUGCAAGUCGAACGAACUCUUCGGAGUUAGUGGCGGACGGGUGAGUAACACGUGGGAACGUGCCUUUUGGUUCGGAAUAACUCAGGGAAACUUGUGCUAAUACCGAAUGUGCCCUUCGGGGGAAAGAUUUAUCGCCAUUAGAGCGGCCCGCGUCUGAUUAGCUAGUUGGUGAGGUAACGGCUCACCAAGGCGACGAUCAGUAGCUGGUCUGAGAGGAUGCCCAGCCACACUGGGACUGAGACACGGACCAGACUCCUACGGGAGGCAGCAGUGGGGAAUCUUGUGCAAUGGGCGAAAGCCUGACGCAGCCAUGCCGCGUGAAUGAUGAAGGUCUUAGGAUUGUAAAAUUCUUUCACCGGGGACGAUAAUGACGGUACCCGGAGAAGAAGCCCCGGCUAACUUCGUG
rnacentral:rRNA from 1 species